rnacentral:lncRNA from 1 species
UUUAAAUGGAAGAAAGUAAGGAAAAUGUAUGAUAACUGACUUUUUACUCUGAUGUUACCAUAGGGGUAAUGAAGUUCAUCGCAGAUUGUUUUCUAACCUUCGGUGCAUGUAUUGAAAUAGAUUUUUGUUUUAAAAAUAUGAGAUUACAUUUUUCUGGAUCUGGUGUGCAUUGGGGUAGAGAGGAUGACUGUCUUAAAAAUAGAUCGUGUAUUCUGCCUAGAGCAAAGACUCUUAAGUCUUUUGGCUGAAAAUGAACUGAGUAUGGACAAAAAUAUUGAAGUAUUCUACUUGUAAACUUACCGUAUAAUCAGUGUCUUGAUAAAAUAGUAGUUUUUGUUGGUUGAAUCUAAGAAUGUGUUGGACUUGGGUAAAUUUCAGACAUGACCAACAACAAAAAACAAAAGCCCAAUUCCUUAACCUUUCCUGACUGAAACUUCUCAGGAAGAAACCAGUUUUGAAUUGUAUGACAUAAAUAAGAUUGUCUUUUAUUAUAAGUUUUUAAACUAUGUAAUAAAACAUUUGGGGAUAACAUCAGUUGAAUGUGCUACUUUUAAAGCAUUAAACCACUGACAUAAGCCUUCUGUAUUAUAGAAACUUCUGAGUUACCAAAAUUUAGUCUGGUACAGAGCCCUUGAAUAUGUUGUGGUUCCCUCAUUAUGGCCCUUCAUUCCCUUCUGUGUUAAUAGUAAAGCAUGUUGCCUAAUAACUACAACCCUGACCAAAUUUGGGCCUGGAUCUCAUGGGUCACGUGGAGUUUUAAAUACGAUUUUUAAUUUACUUGGGUAAUUGAGCUGAAUCUUUAGUUUUCAGAUUACUUUUUUAAACAGAUAGGCUCUUAGAACAAAUUAUUAAAAACAUAAUACCCCAUUGGAGGGGAAUCUGGAUUAACUACCCACUGUUCCCACCCCCCCCAACUUUUGAAAAAUUUUGGCCAUAUAGAAUGCAUGAAAAAUCAGUAUGAUCUUAUGAGGACUUUAUAGUACUGUAAAUCUUAGGAGCACUUUAGUUGUUUUGUUUGUUUGUUUGUUUUACCAGUCAAAUAGCAGUGGGAGAUUGUAUACCAACUUUAGUGACACUGAUAUUAGUAAGUUCUGAUAACCCACUACCAUCGGACCAGCCUGGAGCACAUUACUUUGGCCAGUGGAAAGUCUCUUGGAGAGACUUUGAGGUUUGUGAUGACAAAUCAUGCUAUCGUUAAAGUUAAAUACAUAUAUAUACACACCUAGAAUAUAAGCAGAAUGGAAAAGUUGGCAGGGAUGAAUUCAAGAACAUUAGAGUGAAUUUUUUUCAUUACAGAAUUGUUAGUUCCUUUAGGAACUUAGUCUCGUAGAUGUAUAUAUUUAAUUAGCAUAACUUGGACAGCACAAGAUUAAUGCUUUAACUUGUUUGCAGGAGUUUAAAAAGCUGGUUUCUGUUGCCAAUAGUUGGUUGGAAGGGAAAAUGGAGAUGCCACAAAUAAAAUUUUUUGGAUGUGCAAAACAGUUUUGAUUUUAUUUCUUACAAACUAUAGGACUCCAAGCCCCCUGAUCCUUGAUCAGAACUACAUUAACACCAAAAAUCAAGUUAUCAAAGCAGAGAGGAGGGUGCUAAAGGAGUUGGGAUUUUGUGUUCAUGUCAAGCAUCCUCAUAAGGUGAGUUGUAGAGUACAGAAAUUGGGUUCGUAAGUAUUAGGACUUUUCUAAAAAUUUUAUUUUAUAUGAAUUUAUGUUUCUAUCUGAGUGUUAACCUUGGUUUUAAAAAGCAUUCUUUUAAAGGUUCAGGCUUCAUCGAAAAACAUUCUUUUGGAUGUUGAGAUUUAUCAGUAAAAUGACAGUCAAAAAUGUAGGUUCAAAUCUUAAAUCUUAAUUGUGUGCUCAUAGAGAAGUUAUUUUUGUUUCUGUGGUUAAAGUCCCAGUUUUUCCACCUAGAAAACAGAGAUGUAAAGUUCCUCAUUCCAAGGAAUAAAUGUGUAGCUACAAAAGUAUCUGGCACACUUAUCAUCAUAGUAGAAUGUUCUAAGUGUGUUGGCUGCUCACUGUUACCAUUAUUGGAAAUUUGUUUCUCCCAACAUCUCUUAGCUUUCAUUAUCAAUAUAAGCCAUAGAGUGAGUUACCCGGGUCAGGACUACCUGGGUUAGAAAUGUACCUUGGGAAAUUAGGUGAAAUAAUCUAGCACGGUGCCCAUCACAUAGUAAAGUGCCAAUGAAAAAUAUUCUUUUAAUUGCCUUUUUUCCUGUACAAUUUUGAAAUAUGCUUCUAAACAUAAUUUAUAUAAAAUCUAGUCAUGUAGCAGUUCACAUUAGAAUCUUAUGUACAUUUAAAUUGGUCUGUAUUAUCGAUGCACAAUUAGAACUUGAGUCUAACAUUUUCAAUUACUUUUUUCAUUGAACUCUACUCCGAAAGAACUACCAGUAUACUGAAUUGAGUUUUUUUCCCUUGUCCUUCAGAUCAUUGUUAUGUAUUUACAAGUCUUAGAAUGUGAACGUAAUCAAACCCUGGUUCAAACUGCCUGGAAUUACAUGAAUGACAGUCUUCGAACCAAUGUGUUUGUUCGAUUUCAACCAGAGACUAUAGCAUGUGCUUGCAUCUACCUUGCAGCUAGAGCACUUCAGAUUCCGUUGCCAACUCGUCCCCAUUGGUUUCUUCUUUUUGGUACUACAGAAGAGGAAAUCCAGGAAAUCUGCAUAGAAACACUUAGGCUUUAUACCAGAAAAAAGCCAAACUAUGAAUUACUGGAAAAAGAAGUAGAAAAAAGAAAAGUAGCCUUACAAGAAGCCAAAUUAAAAGCAAAGGGAUUGAAUCCGGAUGGAACUCCAGCCCUUUCAACCCUGGGUGGAUUUUCUCCAGCCUCCAAGCCAUCAUCACCAAGAGAAGUAAAAGCUGAAGAGAAAUCACCAAUCUCCAUUAAUGUGAAGACAGUCAAAAAAGAACCUGAGGAUAGACAACAGGCUUCCAAAAGCCCUUACAAUGGUGUAAGAAAAGACAGCAAGAGAAGUAGAAAUAGCAGAAGUGCAAGUCGAUCGAGGUCAAGAACACGAUCACGUUCUAGAUCACAUACUCCAAGAAGACACUAUAAUAAUAGGCGGAGUCGAUCUGGAACAUACAGCUCGAGAUCAAGAAGCAGGUCCCGCAGUCACAGUGAAAGCCCUCGAAGACAUCAUAAUCAUGGUUCUCCUCACCUUAAGGCCAAGCAUACCAGAGAUGAUUUAAAAAGUUCAAACAGACAUGGUCAUAAAAGGAAAAAAUCUCGUUCUCGAUCUCAGAGCAAGUCUCGGGAUCACUCAGAUGCAGCCAAGAAACACAGGCAUGAAAGGGGACAUCAUAGGGACAGGCGUGAACGAUCUCGCUCCUUUGAGAGGUCCCAUAAAAGCAAGCACCAUGGUGGCAGUCGCUCAGGACAUGGCAGGCACAGGCGCUGACUUUCUCUUCCUUUGAGCCUGCAUCAGUUCUUGGUUUUGCCUAUCUACAGUGUGAUGUAUGGACUCAAUCAAAAACAUUAAACGCAAACUGAUUAGGAUUUGAUUUCUUGAAACCCUCUAGGUCUCUAGAACACUGAGGACAGUUUCUUUUGAAAAGAACUAUGUUAAUUUUUUUGCACAUUAAAAUGCCCUAGCAGUAUCUAAUUAAAAACCAUGGUCAGGUUCAAUUGUACUUUAUUAUAGUUGUGUAUUGUUUAUUGCUAUAAGAACUGGAGCGUGAAUUCUGUAAAAAUGUAUCUUAUUUUUAUACAGAUAAAAUUGCAGACACUGUUCUAUUUAAGUGGUUAUUUGUUUAAAUGAUGGUGAAUACUUUCUUAACACUGGUUUGUCUGCAUGUGUAAAGAUUUUUACAAGGAAAUAAAAUACAAAUCUUGUUUUUUCUAAAC